rnacentral:rRNA from 1 species
UGGCGGACGGGUGAGUAAUGUCUGGGAAACUGCCUGAUGGAGGGGGAUAACUACUGGAAACGGUAGCUAAUACCGCAUAACGUCGCAAGACCAAAGAGGGGGACCUUCGGGCCUCUUGCCAUCGGAUGUGCCCAGAUGGGAUUAGCUAGUAGGUGGGGUAACGGCUCACCUAGGCGACGAUCCCUAGCUGGUCUGAGAGGAUGACCAGCCACACUGGAACUGAGACACGGUCUAG